AUGCAAGUCGAACGGUAAGGCCCUUUCGGGGGUACACGAGUGGCGAACGGGUGAGUAACACGUGGGUAAUCUGCCCUGCACUUCGGGAUAAGCCUGGGAAACCGGGUCUAAUACCGGAUAUGAGCUCCUGCCGCAUGGUGGGGGUUGGAAAGUUUUUCGGUGCAGGAUGAGUCCGCGGCCUAUCAGCUUGUUGGUGGGGUAAUGGCCUACCAAGGCGACGACGGGUAGCCGGCCUGAGAGGGUGAUCGGCCACACUGGGACUGAGACACGGCCCAGACUCCUACGGGAGGCAGCAGUGGGGAAUAUUGCACAAUGGGCGAAAGCCUGAUGCAGCGACGCCGCGUGGGGGAUGACGGUCUUCGGAUUGUAAACUCCUUUCAGUAGGGACGAAGCGAAAGUGACGGUACCUGCAGAAGAAGCACCGGCCAACUACGUGCCAGCAGCCGCGGUAAUACGUAGGGUGCAAGCGUUGUCCGGAAUUACUGGGCGUAAAGAGCUCGUAGGCGGUUUGUCACGUCGUCUGUGAAAUCCUCCAGCUCAACUGGGGGCGUGCAGGCGAUACGGGCAGACUUGAGUACUACAGGGGAGACUGGAAUUCCUGGUGUAGCGGUGAAAUGCGCAGAUAUCAGGAGGAACACCGGUGGCGAAGGCGGGUCUCUGGGUAGUAACUGACGCUGAGGAGCGAAAGCAUGGGGAGCAAACAGGAUUAGAUACCCUGGUAGUCCAUGCCGUAAACGGUGGGCGCUAGGUGUGGGGUCCUUCCACGGAUUCCGUGCCG
rnacentral:rRNA from 1 species